UACGUAGGGGGCAAGCGUUAUCCGGAAUCACUGGGCGUAAGGGUGCGUAGGCGGCUGAAUAAGUCAGGGGUGAAAGGCAUUGGCUCAACCAAUGUAAGCCUUUGAAACUGUUCAGCUUGAGUGCAGGAGAGGUAAGUGGAAUUCCUAGUGUAGCGGUGAAAUGCGUAGAUAUUAGGAGGAACACCAGUGGCGAAGGCGACUUACUGGACUGUAACUGACGCUGAGGCACGAAAGCGUGGGGAGCAAACAGGG
rnacentral:rRNA from 1 species